UACUAGCGGUCCAAGUUGCAGCCACUAUUAUUGGGUCUAAAACAUCCGUAGCUUGCUAAGUAAGUCUUUUGUGAAAUCUGACAUCUUAAGUGUUAGGCGAGCAAAAGAAACUACUUGGCUAGGGACUGGAAGACGUAAGGAGUACGUCCAAAGUAAUGGUAAAAUAUGUUAAGCUUGGACGGACUAACAAGAGCGAAAGCACCUUACGAGGACAGAUCCGACAGUGAGGGAUGAAGGCCAGGGUCGUCAA
rnacentral:rRNA from 1 species